rnacentral:lncRNA from 1 species
GGCAUGUACAAUGAGACAAGGAUAGGGAAAAAACAAAGACAGUAUUAAAUUAAUCAAUAUACAGUAGACCCCCUUGCUAAAGAAAUAAUGUUGCAUGUAGGCAGCAAAUAAAUAAAGUGCCUGUCAUUACAUUCGCCCAGAAUCUGUUGAUGGUAACCCUUUUUCGAUGGUGAUCCUUUUUUGAUGAAUUUAUUUAUACAGCAUGACAUAGUUGACACUUAUCGACAUCAAACCAACUCAAGAUCUUGAUAUAAGACAAUCGGUUUCAAAUGGCGUGUUAUAGGCAUCAUCAUGACCAUAUAAUCCAUAUCCAGGCUGAUUCUUUUCCUAGUGUCUUGGCAUGCUAGUAUCAACCUACAAUAUGAAAUAAUAAGCAUUUACCACAUGGCACAUGUGAAGCUUGUACUACGUCUAAGACAAUUUUACUAUUGGUUUUCUAAGUUGUGACUUGAGUAUUCAUAGCUGCAAAAACCUGGCAAUGUUCAUAGAGGAACUUAUUUCAUAUUAUAAUAUUUAUAUCAAACUAGUUUUUCAUGGUUCUGAAAUGGAAUUCAUAGAGGAAGCCAUUGUCAGUUGCCUUUGGGUCCUAAAAUUCUUAACACCAAAUAAUUGUGAGACUGUACUGAGGGUUUCCCAGGGCUGGUUUUAGGAAACCAGAGAACAAUGCAUAUUUUGCAAACAGAAUUCAAAGAAAAAAAAUGAUAAAAAAACAAGGGACCAUAAAGUUGGGAAAACAAGGAAACAUGGUGAAAUCUUUGUGGGGGAAAAAGGAAAAAUUUGCAAGGGAAUACAUAUCCAGGCCCCAUAAGAUACCAUAGCUUUAUACUCUACAGUGAAUAAAAAUAAUAAUUUUUCACCUUAAUUAUUUGAAGCUCGAGCCAUCGCUGGUGCUGCAAAGAAAGCUAUGACCAAUUCUUCUUCUACUGAAUAAUAUAAAAAACUUGUAUCAGAUUCUAAAAUAUAAAACCUUCAACACGCAUCAAAGGUUGUCCUCUUUUGACUAUAAAUGUAUUGCAUUUUAUAAAUUUUAUACACAAACAGAAGCUAAUUUUUGUGAAAAACAGGGCAGAUUUCGUCCUGGUUUAUUUGACAGUGGGGUAAACUGCUAUUUUUAAUAAUACUUGGACUCUUGGUCUUUGAACCGUCUUUCUCAAGAAAGGCUGCCUUCAUUCUGGAAAAAAACUCGCCUGGCACAUCAUGUAAAAGUUGCCGAAGGUCCAUUUCAGUCUUAAAAGAAAGAAAUACUAUUCCAAUCUGCACUAGAAGGAUUUUAAAUGUUGACAGCCUGGACAGUCGCCGUGUGUUCAGCCUGUUUAAACGCGAAACCGCCACAGGCUUGUUUGUAAAAAAUUGAAUGCAAUAUACCAAAAAUAUAACAUAAAAGUCCAUAAGACACAACCUUACCUGCAAAUAUAUAUUCUAAACCAGAACACCGGUACUCGUCUGGCAUUUUUCUGUAAAAAAUCCACAUUUAAUCAAGAAAAUUUUGUGCUGAAACCUGAAGUACAAAAUCUCAACAAAAAAUUGAAGAAAAGAGCGGGAAAAUAAUUAUCCCGGUCGGGAAAUUGAACUCUUGUUGAUUACUGGAUGCUAAUUGGACAGAUUCCUAACUAACUACCGGGGAAAUAUUCCCCGGCACUUUGCGUCUCCUUGGCAAAUGUAAACAACUAUAACGAUUUGUAGAUUUCAUAUAUUUUGUGAUAUGUCCGUGUACGGCGAAAUAUGCAGCAAGUUGGACAAAAAAUCACACUGCGAGAGACACAAUUUUAAUCUCUCUG